UGGGGAAUAUUGGACAAUGGGGGCAACCCUGAUCCAGCAAUGCCGCGUGUGUGAAGAAGGCCUGCGGGUUGUAAAGCACUUUUGUGGGGAAAGAGGGGCUAGCGCGCUAAUACCGUGUUUGGUCUGACGGUACCCCACGAAUAAGCACCGGCUAACUCCGUGCCAGCAGCCGCGGUAAUACGGAGGGUGCGAGCGUUAAUCGGAAUUACUGGGCGUAAAGCGCGCGUAGGCGGCUGAUCAAGUCCGAUGUGAAAGCCCCGGGCUCAACCCGGGAAUUGCGUUGGAGACUGGUUGGCUAGAGUGCGACAGAGGGUGGUGGAAUUCCCGGUGUAGCGGUGAAAUGCGUAGAUAUCGGGAGGAACAUCGAUGGCGAAGGCAGCCACCUGGGUCGACACUGACGCUGAGGUGCGAAAGCGUGGGGAGCAA
rnacentral:rRNA from 1 species